GGGUUGGCUCAGUGGUUAAGAGCAUUUGUUUCUCUUCAAAGGACCUGGUUUCAAUUCCCAGCACCCA
rnacentral:tRNA from 1 species